rnacentral:rRNA from 1 species
CACGUAGGGCGCGAGCGUUGUCCGGAAUUAUUGGGCGUAAAGAGCUCGUAGGCGGCCUGUUGCGUCCGCUGUGAAAGCCCCGGGGCUUAACCCCGGGUCGGCAGUGGAUACGGGGCAGGCUAGAGGUAGGUAGGGGAGAAUGGAAUUCCCGGUGUAGCGGUGAAAAUGCGCAGAUAUCGGGAGGAACACCGGUGGCGAAGGCGACUCGCUGGACAAGUAUUGACGCUGAGGUGCGAAAGCGUGGGGGAGCAAACAGG